GUGGCGAACGGGUGAGUAACACGUGAGUAACCUGCCCUUGACUCUGGGAUAACCUCCGGAAACGGAAGCUAAUACCGGAUAUGACGCACGGAGGCAUCUCCUGUGCGUGGAAAGAACUUCGGUCAAGGAUGGACUCGCGGCCUAUCAGGUAGUUGGUGAGGUAACGGCUCACCAAGCCUACGACGGGUAGCCGGCCUGAGAGGGUGACCGGCCACACUGGGACUGAGACACGGCCCAGACUCCUACGGGAGGCAGCAGUGGGGAAUAUUGCACAAUGGGCGCAAGCCUGAUGCAGCAACGCCGCGUGAGGGACGACGGCCUUCGGGUUGUAAACCUCUUUUAGUAGGGAAGAAGCGAAAGUGACGGUACCUGCAGAAAAAGCACCGGCUAACUACGUGCCAGCAGCCGCGGUAAUACGUAGGGUGCGAGCGUUGUCCGGAAUUAUUGGGCGUAAAGAGCUCGUAGGCGGUCUGUCGCGUCUGCUGUGAAAACCCGAGGCUCAACCUCGGGCCUGCAGUGGGUACGGGCAGACUAGAGUGCGGUAGGGGAGAAUGGAAUUCCUGGUGUAGCGGUGGAAUGCGCAGAUAUCAGGAGGAACACCGAUGGCGAAGGCAGUUCUCUGGGCCGUAACUGACGCUGAGGAGCGAAAGCGUGGGGAGCGAACAGGAUUAGAUACCCUGGUAGUCCACGCCGUAAACGUUGGGCGCUAGAUGUGGGG
rnacentral:rRNA from 1 species